GACGAACGCUGGCGGCGUGCUUAACACAUGCAAGUCGAACGGAAAGGCCCUGCUUUUGUGGGGUGCUCGAGUGGCGAACGGGUGAGUAACACGUGAGUAACCUGCCCUUGACUUUGGGAUAACUUCAGGAAACUGGGGCUAAUCCCGUAUAGGAUCCCCUGUGCCAGGGUGGGGGUGGGAAAUUUUCGGCGGUAGGGGUUGGAUGCGCGGCUUAUCGGCUUGUUGGUGGGGUAGGGGCUUACCAAGCCUUGGACGGGUACCCGGCAUGAGAGGGUGAACGGCCACAUUGGGACUGAGAUACGGCCCAGACUCCUACGGGAGGCAGCAGUGGGGAAUAUUGCACAAUGGGCGGAAGCCGGAUGAAGAGACGCCGCGUGCGGGAUGACGGCCUUCGGGUUGUAAACCGCUUUAGCCUGUGACGAAGCGUGAGUGACGGUAAUGAGUAAAGAAGCACCGGCUAACUACGUG
rnacentral:rRNA from 1 species